GUUUGAUCCUGGCUCAGGAUGAACGCUGGCGGCGUGCCUAACACAUGCAAGUCGAACGGACUUACAUUGAAGCCUAGCGAUAUGUAAGUUAGUGGCGGACGGGUGAGUAACGCGUGGGUAACCUGCCUUGUACUGGGGGACAACAGUUGGAAACGACUGCUAAUACCGCAUAAGCGCACAGCUUCGCAUGAAGCAGUGUGAAAAACUCCGGUGGUACAAGAUGGACCCGCGUCUGAUUAGCUGGUUGGUGAGGUAACGGCCCACCAAGGCGACGAUCAGUAGCCGGCCUGAGAGGGUGAACGGCCACAUUGGGACUGAGACACGGCCCAAACUCCUACGGGAGGCAGCAGUGGGGAAUAUUGCACAAUGGGGGAAACCCUGAUGCAGCAACGCCGCGUGAGUGAAGAAGUAUUUCGGUAUGUAAAGCUCUAUCAGCAGGGAAGAAAAUGACGGUACCUGACUAAGAAGCCCCGGCUAACUACGUGCCAGCAGCCGCGGUAAUACGUAGGGGGCAAGCGUUAUCCGGAUUUACUGGGUGUAAAGGGAGCGUAGACGGUUUUGCAAGUCUGAAGUGAAAGCCCGGGGCUUAACCCCGGGACUGCUUUGGAAACUGUAGGACUAGAGUGCAGGAGAGGUAAGUGGAAUUCCUAGUGUAGCGGUGAAAUGCGUAGAUAUUAGGAGGAACACCAGUGGCGAAGGCGGCUUACUGGACUGUAACUGACGUUGAGGCUCGAAAGCGUGGGGAGCAAACAGGAUUAGAUACCCUGGUAGUCCACGCC
rnacentral:rRNA from 1 species